UACGCAGGGGGCUAGCGUUGCUCGGAAUUACUGGGCGUAAAGGGCGCGUAGGCGGAUGAUUAAGUUGGGGGUGAAAGCCCGGGGCUCAACCUCGGAACUGCCUUCAAAACUGGUCAUCUUGAGUUCGGGAGAGGUGUGUGGAACUCCGAGUGUAGAGGUGAAAUUCGUAGAUAUUCGGAAGAACACCAGUGGCGAAGGCGACACACUGGCCCGAUACUGACGCUGAGGCGCGAAGGCGUGGGGAGCAAACAGG
rnacentral:rRNA from 1 species